rnacentral:rRNA from 1 species
UUAUACCGCGAAACUGCGAAUGGCUCAUUAAAUCAGUUAUCGUUUAUUUGAUAGUACCUUACUACUUGGAUAACCGUGGUAAUUCUAGAGCUAAUACGUGCUAAAAAUCCCGACUCACGGAGGGAUGUAUUUAUUAGAUUAAAAACCAAUGCCCUUCGGGGCUCCUUGGUGAUUCAUAAUAACUUCUCGAAUCGCAUGGCCUUGUGCCGGCGAUGGUUCAUUCAAAUUUCUGCCCUAUCAACUUUCGAUGGCAGGGUCUUGGCCUGCCAUGGUUACAACGGGUAACGGAGGGUUAGGGCUCGACCCCGGAGAAGGAGCCUGAGAAACGGCUACUACAUCCAAGGAAGGCAGCAGGCGCGCAAAUUACCCAAUCCCGAUUCGGGGAGGUAGUGACAAUAAAUACUGAUACAGGGCUCUUUCGGGUCUUGUAAUUGGAAUGAGUACAAUUUAAAUCCCUUAACGAGGAACAAUUGGAGGGCAAGUCUGGUGCCAGCAGCCGCGGUAAUUCCAGCUCCAAUAGCGUAUAUUAAAGUUGUUGCAGUUAAAAAGCUCGUAGUUGAACCUUGGGCCUGGCUGGCCGGUCCGCCUCACCGCGUGCACUGGUUCGGCCGGGCCUUUCCCUCUGGGGAUCCCCAUGCCCUUCACUGGGUGUGGUGGGGAACCAGGACUUUUACUGUGAAAAAAUUAGAGUGUUCAAAGCAGGCCUAUGCUCGAAUACAUUAGCAUGGAAUAAUAAAAUAGGACGU